ACUUACCACGUGGAGAUGAAACAGCCUUCAUGCGGUUUUCAUCGUGAAUGUCCAAUUCUCACUACACAAAAUGGAGCAAUGGGCAUUCAUCUGGGCAACACCCUCCACACAAUUUCUUUCCUGGGAGAUUAAGCAAGAUCUGCUUUCUCCUUAU